UUUCCACAUUGCUUCUUAUGGCAUUGAAAGCUUCUUCAAAGGCUUCCUCUUCCUCAUACUUGUACAUGCAAGCACUGAAAUCAGCAAGUACAUUUGGUCCUUCCUCGUCUUUUUUCUUAUGAGGUACAAUUCCUGAAUCAUCCGCUGUUUCAAUUUCAAAUGCUUGCAAGGCCGAAAUUUUCCUCUGUGAUGGCAUCAAGUGGCUUGCCCCAGAAGGAAGACAAAAUGGAGAUAAUCUGCAUCGCCUACAGAUCAGCUUGCCUUGGUUUCACUUUGAACAUGGGGGACGAUCAAAAGAGAGAUAAGGCAAAAGGGAGUUUUUUUUGAAGGGAGGCAAAAGGGAGUUUAUCUCGCCACCUAAAGACCACAGAUGAACGUACCUCCGCCGUGUGUCGUGGUUCUAAGUCUGACAGUAGAGUGGGGGGUAGGUAUUGAGAGGCAAGGUCUUAGCUAUGGAGAGGUUGUAAACACAAGAGAUGUACGAGUUCAGGCCCUUCUCGGAGGAAGUAAAAG